rnacentral:tRNA from 1 species
UUAAUUGAAACCAAAAUAGAGGUAUGUCACUGUUAAUGACAUUAUUGAAACUUAUUUCCAAUUAAA